rfam:Gossypium raimondii Chr07_contig_25, whole genome shotgun sequence.
UAUUAAAAAUUUCAUCCAUUUUUACUGUUAAAAACUAGUAUAGCUGACAGAAUAACCAGAAAAUUACAUGUCACGUGCCGCAUAUGCUUCAUGCUGAUGUAUAGGGAUCAAUUUUUAAUAAUAGAUAUGAACGAAAUUUUUACUA